rnacentral:rRNA from 1 species
GGAUAAACGCUGGCGGCGUGCCUAAUGCAUGCAAGUCGAACGGACCGGGUCUUCGGAGCUGGUCGAGUGCGGACGGGUGAGGAACACGUACGAGACCUGCCCUCAGGUGGGGAAUACCCCUUCGAAAGGAGGGUUAAUGCCGCAUCCGCGCACCGGGUGAUACCUGGUGCGGAAAGCGGUCGCAAGACCGUGCCGGAGGAGGGCGUGCGGCCGAUUAGCUGGUUGGUGGGGUAAUGGCCUACCAAGGCGUCGGAUCGGUAGCUGGUCUGAGAGGAUGGUCAGCCACACUGGGACUGAGAGACGGCCCAGACUCCGUACGGGAGGCAGC